rnacentral:lncRNA from 1 species
AUGUCGAUUAAGUAGAAAAAUAAAUAAAGUUCCCCUGAAAAAAGUAGAAACAGAAAUAUUGAGUAUAUUAAAAAUAUGUGAUGAUCAAAUCUAAAAGAGGAUUUAGAUUAGUCAUCAAUAUGAUAUUUAUUUUGGUUAGUCUCUAAUGUCGAUUAAGUAGCAAAAUAAAUGUUUAGUAUAUUAAAAAUUUGUGAUGAUCAAAUAUAAAAGAGGAUUUAGAGUAGUCAUCGAUAUAAUUAAACUUAAUGGUGAGAAUAAUGGUGGAAUAGUGUAUAAGGGGAGGAACAAGAUAUUUUUGCUACUCCUCUUGUUUACAAAAGUUGCUCUUUCUUUUUAAGCCUCCUUGUUCUGAUUUUUAUUGUUUCUAUUUGUACUCAAAAUUAGGUUAAAAUAUGAGGAAGAUGACAAAUUGUACUGUGUUAGUGUUUGGUUGAAAUUGCAAGAUUGGUGGUUAGGAGAAUGAAAUCAUAGUAAAGUGAAGAUUGUGGAGUAAUGUUUCAAAUGGAAAAAUGAAAAAACAGUUGGUAAAUAUGAAUUGGAAUGACACAAAGAUAGGAAGAUAGGUUGUUCACGUUUGUUAUUAUCUUUUACUUUUGUUUCUUUAGUUUGGUGAAAUGUGAAAGAGUGAAACAGAGAACAAAGGCUAUUGUGCAUUUGAUCCUCUUUUCUUUUCUUCUUUGUAAUUAUUCCAAUACACAUUUUUAUCAUUGUUUUGAAAUUCUAUUCAUUAUACUGCAAUUAAAUAAAUACUAGCAAGUGAGUGAAACCACAUUCUAUUAUGUUUAGAAUUUUUUUGUUUUUAGAAAAAUAAUAUGAUGACAAGUAAUACAUGAUAUAUCAAAUUAUCAAAUAUUUAUCUUUUGAUUUUCAUAAUUGAUGUCUCAACCCUUUAAUGGAUGCGCUUUCAAUUUGUAGUUUCUUUCGGCUCUUUUUGUGUGUGGAUCUUUUGUAAAACUAUUUUCUUCCUGUUGCACUUCUUUUGCCAGGGCGAUAUGUUUCCGUGGUAUAUAAUUUAUUUUGGCUUGUUUAAAGAAAAAUCCCAAAUGUUACCCGUUUAUUUAAUAUAUUUUAUAGGAUAAAAAUUUAAGAUAAUUUUCGUUAAGAAUUUUUUUUUUUUUGAGCAAGUUAAGAAAAUACUUAUCACUAUGUUAAGUUGUAGUUAAAUUAAUGAUUCUUUGCACUGUCGAUUGUUGUUGCAUUUCUAAGAGUGUGUUUGGAUGAGGGAAUGUAAUGUUAUGAGGGAAUUUAAAUACUUUGAGGUGAAUUCCAUUGUUUGGAUGUGGGGAAUGUAAUGUAAUGUUGAGGAAAUAUAAUGCUAUGAGGGAAUUCAAAUACUUUGAGGUAAAUUGCCUAGAAUUUUAAAUUCUUUAAAAUUUUCAAAUUACCUCAUCCAAACACACUCUAAGAUUUAAAUAUGAUUUUAGUUCCUACUAUUAUUAUGUUUAAGUUUUAGUCCCUAUAAAUUUUUUAUUUGACCUCGGUCCUUUUUUUGAAGUUUAAUGGUUGAACUAUUAUCACAUAACACAAUAGUACAUCCAUAAUACAUAUGAGCUAAAUUUCCCAUAUUCUUCAUCAUCCAUACUGCUUGACAAACACAAGUUUCGGCUUCACAAACAAGACUUCAGUUGUUACAAGUGUGAGUAUAAAAAAGUUAUAUCUAUUAAGACUUUUGACAAGUGUACCGAAAUUCGUUCAAGUAACAACAGUGAUAAGAAAGAUUAUCUCCAGCUAAAUGACAUGACAUGUAACAUUUUAUCAUCAUCGAUAUUUAUUUCAAUGAUUUAAAACAAACACAGCUGUCCCUCGUACAUUGCGGUAGCCGAGGAAGAAUACACUUAAUUUUUGCUACACAAUGAGAGUCCUUACGACAUUCAAAAAAUAUUGUAAUGAUAAAAGAGAAGAUAAAAAUGUUACUAAUUAAAUGGGAUAAAAGGUUAGAUAAGAUGUAAAGAAUAAAAUUGUAAAAUAAUGAAAAAUGACUUACCGGCAUCGUUCAUUGCAAUGAAAAAUAGUGAAAGAAAGAGGAUCGUAAUAUAAACAAAGUUAGUGACUUUCCCAUAUUUUUCCCUUUUGCAUGAAACAAAUAAAAUAGAAUUUGAUGAAUUAAUGUAUUAAGCGCACAGUUUCUUU